AAACUGGCAGGACACCAGGUCCCACAUGGCCUUUCUCUUCAACAAGGGGCACUGGUGACCUGCUGGGACCAGGUGAUUUUCACCUGACCAUGUCCCCAUCUUUGCACAGAUCUCAGGCCAUGGUGGCUCGUCAGUCUGGGCUGCUCCCUGUCCAUCAGCCCUCAGCUUUGGCCCCUCAAGAGGAAAAUGCUUUGGCCUUACCAAAGAAGAUGUUAUUGACCUAUGUGUAUGAACUGAAAUUCUUGUAGGGUAUGAGAUAACUGACUGUAUCCAACAGGGACUGAUUCUUACUUUACAGUUUCAUAAAUUGACUGCAUCACUGUGCACUGAAAUCAAUCAGUCUGAACAAAAGGAAGCUCCAUUUCAAACCAAAUAUGCGUUGUGUUCAAGCCUUGUAACUGUGAAAGGCUUUGGCUGAAAGGAACCAUUGGCUCAGAUGAGAGGCUGGUAAGGCUGAAACCAAACACCCUGAGCUCCUGAGCAUAUCCCUGAGGAAAAAAGAGUCCUUUAUGUUUGCUUUCUGACUAAGAUAAGCUAAGGCAUAUUUGCAGAAUUCACAAACAUAAAUCUGAAGCAUAUCUAUCUUAAUGUGAAAAAGGUUUAUAACAAAUUUCAGUGACGGAAGGUUUGAGAACUAGACAUUUGCUUGUGGAGAGCAAACCCUCUUACAUUAUGGAUACUGCUUCCAUAGGGAAAAAAAAUGUUGCUAGUCAUAGUCAUUCGAGUUAGAAGGGACCCUCAAAAGCCAUCUAGUCCAACUGCCCUGCAAUCAACAGGGACACCUACAGCUAGAUGAGGGUGCUCAGUGCCCUGUCCAGCCUGAUCUUGAAUGUAUCCUAGGAUGGGACAUCCACCCAUCCACCCCCUCGCUGGGCAACAAAGUACUGCUGCCUGCAGAUCUGCUUUGCUUGUGAAACAACAGUGCCAGAGGGAAAAGCACUUAUGCAGAUGUCGUCUGCAACUAUAGUAGUCAUAGAUUCCUACCUGCCAACACAGGACAGUGAACUGUCCACCUGGUUCCCAUUUUGGAGCUGCAGAUUUCACUCAGUGUGCCUUCGGAUUGGCAUUUUCCUACAGACCCAACACCAGGGAACCUUCUGCUCCCUCGAGCUUCUCCCAGAACACGAUGCAGCUGGAAUGUUCUCUCUCCCAGGCGUCUCACUCUCCGUCUGUGAUCCUGGCACUUCGCUGACAAGGCCUUCUCUCCUCUUUUAAGGAAGGGCAUAAAUGUUCAUGCAACAUUCCCCCUGGACAGAAGAAACCCAUCAGGUGCCGACCUGCUGCCACUGGGGGAAUACUGUACACACAGCAGGCAGCACAACACAAAGUGCUUUAAAGACUUUAAUCCCCGGUGCCAGCCCUCUACAGUCUCGGCCCAGCUCCAGAGCCUCUGCCUCUACCGAGCUUCAGGCCUGGCACGUCUCGGGGUCCCUCCUGCCCGGCCCGGCCUCGGAAGGAGCCCCCUGGAACGAGGAGGCCCGGCGCCCCCAGCUCCUUCCUCCCGUAGGCGCUGACGGCGGUCGCUCGGGCUGCCAACCUGCCCGCCUAGAGCGAGGGCCCGCCACAGCACUCGCCUCAGGGCCAAACGGGCUCCGCUUGCCGCCCCGCCACCCCCCUUCUAUAGGGGAAAAUGGAAGGUCCCUUCCCCACGCGCACCUGCCUCUGAAGCAUGGUACUGUCUGGAAGAGGGAGAGCAAAGGGCGAAUGCAGCAAGGCAGAGACGUGCCCAACGAGCAUCCAGACGGUCUCUGUGCGAGGCUAAGGUGUUGGUGCUCCUGCUAAGACGGAAGUUUCGGGCACGCUUUGCAAUCUGCAGGACUGAAGCAGGAGGGAGUUGUGCAAAACCUUAUGCUGUGCACAGGUACCUGCAGGCAGGAAGGCAUCUGCGUGGAUGUCCUGCCUUCACAGAAGCGUCUCUGCAGUAUGAUACCGUAUUCCCCCCUGCAGGGCCUAUAGGAGCCAGAUGAGCAGUCCCUUGGUGCCGUGACAGGCGAUGAGGACCCAGCUGAAACAUGAUGUGCUGAUUGCCAUGGCAGACCUCAUUGCUCCCAGCCCCCAUCACUGGAGCAUCCUAUGGAGAAGGUUUAAUCCCCAGCUGUCCUCCAGCAGGAGGAGGGCUGCUGUUCUCCCUGGGGCCUGAGGAGCAGGCUGCCAUCUAGGGGCUGUGGGAGGACCUCUUUAUUCAUACUGAAGUGUUGCCUGCCAGCACAUAAGACAAGAAAUACCCAUAAUAAAUGAAUAUCAUGAAGUUA